rnacentral:rRNA from 1 species
AGUGAACGCUGGCGGUAGGCCUAACACUUGCAAGUCGAACGGCAGCACAGUAAGAGCUUGCUCUUACGGGUGGCGAGUGGCGGACGGGUGAGGAAUACAUCGGAAUCUACUUUUUCGUGGGGGAUAACGCAGGGAAACUUACGCUAAUACCGCAUACGACCUACGGGUGAAAGCAGGGGAUCUUCGGACCUUGCGCGAUUGAAUGAGCCGAUGUCGGAUUAGCUAGUUGGCGGGGUAAAGGCCCACCAAGGCGACGAUCCGUAGCUGGUCUGAGAGGAUGAUCAGCCACACUGGAACUGAGACACGGUCCAGACUCCUACGGGAGGCAGCAGUGGGGAAUAUUGGACAAAGGGCGCAAGCCUGAUCCAGCCAUACCGCGUGGGUGAAGAAGGCCUUCGGGUUGUAAAGCCCUUUUGUUGGGAAAGAAAAGCAGCAGGUUAAUACCCCGCUGUUCUGACGGUACCCAAAGAAUAAGCACCGGCUAACUUCGUG